GAUGAACGCUGGCGGCGUGCCUAACACAUGCAAGUCGAGCGAUUCUCUUCGGAGAAGAGCGGCGGACGGGUGAGUAACGCGUGGGUAACCUGCCCUGUACACACGGAUAACAUACCGAAAGGUAUGCUAAUACGGGCUAAUAUACUUUUAUCGCAUGGUAGAAGUAUCAAAGCUCCGGCGGUACAGGAUUGACCCGCGUCUGAUUAGCUAGUUGGUAAGGUAACGGCUUACCAAGGCGACGAUCAGUAGCCGACCUGCGAGGGUGAUCGGCCACAUUGGAACUGAGACACGGUCCAAACUCCUACGGGAGGCAGCAGUGGGGAAUAUUGCACAAUGGGCGAAAGCCUGAUGCAGCAACGCCGCGUGAGCGAUGAAGGCCUUCGGGUCGUAAAGCUCUGUCCUCAAGGAAGAUAAUGACGGUACUUGAGGAGGAAGCCCCGGCUAACUACGUGCCAGCCGCCGCAGUAA
rnacentral:rRNA from 1 species